rnacentral:rRNA from 1 species
AGGGUUUGAUCCUGGCUCAGAUUGAACGCUGGCGGCAUGCUUUACACAUGCAAGUCGAACGGUAACAGGCCGCAAGGUGCUGACGAGUGGCGAACGGGUGAGUAAUGUAUCGGAACGUGCCCAGUCGUGGGGGAUAACGCAGCGAAAGCUGCGCUAAUACCGCAUACGAUCUAUGGAUGAAAGCGGGGGACCGUAAGGCCUCGCGCGAUUGGAGCGGCCGAUAUCAGAUUAGGUAGUUGGUGGGGUAAAGGCUCACCAAGCCAACGAUCUGUAGCUGGUCUGAGAGGACGACCAGCCACACUGGGACUGAGACACGGCCCAGACUCCUACGGGAGGCAGCAGUGGGGAAUUUUGGACAAUGGGCGCAAGCCUGAUCCAGCAAUGCCGCGUGCAGGAAGAAGGCCUUCGGGUUGUAAACUGCUUUUGUACGGAACGAAACGGUCCUGGUUAAUACCUGGGGCUAAUGACGGUACCGUAAGAAUAAGCACCGGCUAACUACGUGCCAGCAGCCGCGG